rnacentral:rRNA from 1 species
AGUGAGCGGCAAAGCUUCCAAUUUGAAAGCUAGCACCUUCGGUGUUCGCGUUGUAAUUUGAAGAUAGUUUCCUUGAGUAGUCCUUUAUCUAUGUUCCUUGGAACAGGACGUCAUAGAGGGUGAGAACCCCGUAUGAUUUUGGAUACUACUCUUUGUGGGAUUCUAUCGAAGAGUCGAGUUGUUUGGGAAUGCAGCUCUAAGUGGGUGGUAAAUUCCAUCUAAAGCUAAAUAUUGGCGAGAGACCGAUAGCGAACAAGUACAGUGAUGGAAAGAUGAAAAGAACUCUGAAGAGAGAGUGAAAAAGUACGUGAAAUUGCUGAAAGGGAAGGGCUUGAGGUCAGACUUGGUGUUUAAUGAUUAUCAGUUCUUCUUGGACUGUGCACUCGUUUUUCACCGGGCCAAUAUCAGUUUUAGCGGUAGAGUACCCCUUGAAAUGUGGCUUCCUUCGGGGAGUGUUAUAGUCUUGGGGAGAUCUACUUGCUGGGACUGAGGACUGCGCUUCGGCAAGGAUAUUGGCGUAAUGACCUUAAGCCG